AGUCUCUUCCUCUUUGGUCUGAGCUUCAGAGCAGUCCGAGAUGGCUGGCGGUAAGGCUGGUAAGGACUCCGGAAAGGCCAAGACAAAGGCGGUUUCCCGCUCGCAGCGAGCCGGCUUGCAGUUCCCUGUGGGCCGUAUUCAUUGACACCUGAAAUCUAGGACAACCAGCCACGGACAUGUGGGUGCGACCCCUGCUGUGUACAGUGCAGCCAUCCUGGAGUACCUCACCGCAGAGGUACUUGAGUUGGCAGGAAACGCUUCAAAGGACUUAAAGGUAAAGCGUAUUACCCCUCAUCAUUUGCAACUCGCUAUCCGCGGGGAUGAAGAAUUGGACUCUCUGAUCAAGGCUACAAUUGCUGGUGGUGGUGUCAUCCCACACAUCCACAAGUCGCUGAUUGGGAAGAAGGGACAGCAGAAGACUGUGUAAGGAUACCUGGAUUCCUUAUUAUCUCAGGACUCUAAAUAUUCUUAACAGCUGUCCAGUGUUGGUGAUUCCAGUGGACUGUAUCUCUGUGAAAAACACAAUUUUGCCUUUUUGUAAUUCUAUUUGAGCAAGUUGGAGGCUUAAUUAGCCUUCCAACCAACCAAAUUUCUGCAUUCGAGUCUUAACCAUAUUUAAGUGUUACUGUGGCUUCAAAGAAGCUAUUGAUUCCGAAGUAGUGGGUUGGAUUGAGUUGACUGUUUUUA